GACGAACGCUGGCGGCGUGCUCAACACAUGCAAGUCGAACGGAAAGGCCCUGCUUUUGUGGGGUGCUCGAGUGGCGAACGGGUGAGUAACACGUGAGUAACCUGCCCUUGACUUUGGGAUAACUUCAGGAAACUGGGGCUAAUACCGGAUAGGAGCUCCGCUGCAUGGUGGGGGUUGGAAAGUUUCGGCGGUUGGGGAUGGACUCGCGGCUUAUCAGCUUGUUGGUGGGGUAGUGGCUUACCAAGGCUUUGACGGGUAGCCGGCCUGAGAGGGUGACCGGCCACAUUGGGACUGAGAUACGGCCCAGACUCCUACGGGAGGCAGCAGUGGGGAAUAUUGCACAAUGGGCGGUAGCCUGAUGCAGCAACGCCGCGUGCGGGAUGACGGCCUUCGGGUUGUAAACCGCUUUCGCCUGUGACGAAGCGUGAGUGACGGUAAUGGGUAAAGAAGCACCGGCUAACUACGUG
rnacentral:rRNA from 1 species